CACGUAGGGCGCAAGCGUUGUCCGGAAUUAUUGGGCGUAAAAGAGCUCGUAGGCGGUCUGUUGCGUCCGCUGUGAAAACUCGGGGCUUAACCCCGAGCCUGCAGUGGAUACGGGGCAGACUAGAGGUAGGUAGGGGAGAAUGGAAUUCCCGGUGUAGCGGUGAAAAUGCGCAGAUAUCGGGAGGAACACCGGUGGCGAAGGCGGUUCUCUGGGCCUUACCUGACGCUGAGGAGCGAAACGUGGGGGAGCGAACAGG
rnacentral:rRNA from 1 species